AACGGCCAUAACAUGCUGAAUAUACCGGUUCUCGUUCGAUCACCGAAGUCAAUCAUCAUUGGGUGCGGUCGGUCGGUAUUUGGGAGGGUGAUCAACCUGGGAACACUGCAUGCUGUU